CCGAGAUAUUUUUCCUGCGAUAUUCGCAAAAUAACCGCGAGAUAAAUCUUCAUGUGGGGUUAAACAUCUCUACGUCAAUGGAGGAAAUGGAGUUGGGGUACAAAGGUUAGAUAAACCAACUCAUUUUCUACAAAAAAGGUACUCAUAAGAUUCAAUACGUUUAUCGGUUUUCCAGAAAAUUUAAUUUUAAAAAUUUGAGGUAUAUCUUUUACCAAAAAAUCAAGUAACAGAAUUUUCUAUUUGCCUAGUUUGUAAAAAUAUAUAAUUGAAAUUCACAAGAACAAUUUUAAAACAAACUUUCCAAAAUGAUGUUUCUUGAAACAUUUUAUCAACACUUUUGAAAACUGAGGAAACAUUUACGUCAUAUUUGUUUCUUUCUCUUUCCGAUGUUUUAGUUUUAACAAACGUUUUAAAAAUAAAACAAAAAAAAAUUCUGGCUCUUGAUGACGAGUCUAAAAGAUCAAAGUAUAUUAUAUAAACAGUUGAUAUUAGGCAAUGUUUGAUACCAAAAAUAGUUUUUUUAUAAUUAACUUAUUGCAAUAUUCGGCGUUUUUAACCCAAGGAACAUCAUAAUUUUUUGCGCACUAAAUUUAUCUGAUCAAUUAAUUAUACAAUAUAUACGGAAUGUUUUAUUUAUUGUUAUUUAUUAUUGUUUAAUUUUACAUACCUAUUACUUUAGAUUUAAGUUUAUGUUUUUUACUAUAUUUUCAUUUACUAUAUUGUUGUAUAUUAUAUAUGUAACAUUAUUUCAGUAGAUACCUUUUAUAAACCAAUAAAUAAACGAUCUAACCAUGCACGUCGUUUAGAUUGAAAGAAACUUCUUCCAUCUACAGACAGAUCACAUGAUGGCGAUCUUAUUUCAUAUUCCUUUGUUCUCGCUAGCAGCAUAUCAUAGAGCACACUUUGCCCUCACCAGAAUUUAUCUGGAUUGAAUGUUAGUAAUCCGUAACACGGUAUUUUUCGUGGUGAUAAAGCACAGUAAUUUAAUCAUGCACAGUUUGAAUGUAAUUUGUAAUUAGUGAUAUCAGAAAGAAUAUUCCAAUGUUGAUAUAAUUUGUUAUUAGCGGGUAAUAUUACAUCAGCAUAAAAUUAUCUUAGUAUUUCUUUUAUUAAAGUAGAUGUUAAAAAUUAAAUUUUAAAGCCUGAUGAAAAUAAUAUACAUUUAGUUGU